UGGCCGAUGACUGGGGUGAAGUCGUAACAAGGUAGCCGUAGGGGAACCUGCGGCUGGAUCACCUCCUUA
rnacentral:rRNA from 1 species